rnacentral:lncRNA from 1 species
AAACUCCGAUUACCGGACUAUUGAAUGAUUCCUGUGAUCACAAUUACGACCUGAAGGUUUGAUGAUCUCGCUGAGAUUACUUGCACAUUUAGCAAAAUAUGACGGAAGAUAUAAUAAAUCAUCUAUUAAGCGGGAUAUACGAGAUAUGUUUGACUUGGUAUUAAUUAUCUGUAUUAUGUACGAAGCUCAACCUUAUAAUUUCUUGUUUAUUUAACAUUGUAACUGAAAUUCAGAAAAAAUCUCACAUCAAACUAACAUGACACAGUAUGAAAGGCUUGAACCAGUAUGCACAAGAAAAUUAGGUUGAUGACACCAAGAAUAUGAAACAUUUAAUAAAGAACACAACAUUAAAAGAUUGCUCACAUGUAUAUAGCUACUUCCAUUAGCAACUAUAUCUUAACUACUGCUUCUUUACCACAUCUACUCUUUAUAUAAUAACAACCAUGCCAAUCAUAUAAUCUAUGUCUUGUAAAUUUCAUCAACCCAACUUUAUUUCAGAUGAAAGAUCAGCUGAGCUUUUCAGCUUUUACAAGAGAUGAAUCCAACAUGGGAAUGAUAAUGGUAGUAGCUUCCAUGAUUUUGUCAUGGCUUUUCAUCUACAGAUGGAACCAGAGAACGAAAAAAGGCCCAAAAACAUGGCCAUUGGUGGGAGCUGCCAUCGAACAACUGAUGACUUAUGAUACAAUGCAUGAUUGGCUAGUAAAAUAUCUUGAAGAGUCAAGAACUGUGGUGGUGCCGAUGCCAUUUACAACAUAUACUUACAUUGCUGAUCCUGCCAACGUCGAACAUGUGCUGAAGACAAAUUUUGCUAAUUACCCGAAGGUGAAAGUAUCGACUCCUUUUUAUUACUUAGUCUAGAGUUUUUUUCUAUGAGAAACUCAUGAAAAGACUUUGUUUAUUUUAUAGGGUGAUGUAUACCACUCAUACAUGGAAGUAUUGCUUGGAGAUGGUAUAUUUAAUGUAGAUGGAGAGCUUUGGAGGAAACAGAGGAAGACAGCAAGCUUUGAAUUUGCUUCUAAGAACUUGAGAGAUUUCAGCACACUAGUUUUCAGAGAAUAUAGCCUCAAACUCUCUGAUAUUCUGAGUCAAGCAUGUUUUCAGAAUCAAGAAGUAGACUUGCAGGUGACUCCUGAGAAACCCUCAGAUUAUGUAUCCAUGACUAAGUUAAAAUUUUGUUUUGACAGGUGUUAAAGAUUUCCUCUUUUGUAGGAAUUAUUAAUGAGGAUGACUUUGGACUCCAUCUGCAAGGUGGGAUUUGGUGUUGAAAUUGGAACACUAGCUCCUCAUCUACCAGAAAACCGUUUUGCGCUGGCAUUUGACACUGCAAACAUAACUGUUACCCUACGAUUUAUAGAUCCUUUAUGGAAAGUGAAGAAGUUCCUCAAUGUGGGCUCAGAAGCUGUUUUAGACAAGAGCAUUAAAAUCAUAGAUGAUUUUACUUAUUCGGUUAUCCGCAGGAGAAGGGCGGAAAUAGAAGCUGAAAAGAUUAAUAAAAUGGACAAGGUAUAUGAUUUAGCUCCUGAUCAUUAUUCCUAUGCUAUUCCACCAUUUAAAUUAUAUACUUGACAACAAUUUCAGGUAAAGAACGAUAUACUGUCGAGGUUCAUUGAACUAGGAAAAGACCCUGAAAAUAACAUGACUGAGAAAAGCCUCAGAGAUGUUGUCCUGAACUUUGUUAUUGCUGGAAGAGACACCACUGCCACAACUCUGACCUGGGCAAUAUACAUGAUCAUGACACAUGAUAAAGUAGCAGAGAAGCUACACUUAGAUCUCAAAGCUUUUGAAGAAGAGCGGGCUAAAGAAGAGUGUGUGUCAUUACAAUCUUAUGAGACAAAUGACCCUGCAUCUCUCAGUCAGAGACUGAAGCAAUAUGCAGGACUCAUGAAUUAUGACUCACUAGGAAAGCUACACUACUUGCAUGCAGUGAUCACAGAAACACUUCGACUGUACCCUGCGGUCCCUCAGGUAAUUCCAAAACUCAUACAAGAGUAUUAUUGAGAUAGUGAGCCAGCAAUCUUCUUUCUGUAUUUCUAUUCUAAUUUAAAAAUUUCACACACAUUGACCGGAUGAAACAAAACUACGAGUAUCAGGAUCCAAAGGGUAUCUUAGAGGAUGAUAUAUUGCCUGAUGGAACCAAAGUAAAAGCAGGAGGAAUGGUGACUUACGUGCCAUAUUCCAUGGGUAGAAUGGAGUACAACUGGGGUCCUGAUGCAGCUUCAUUUAAACCUGAGAGAUGGCUCAAAGAUGGGAUUUUCCAAAGUGCAUCUCCAUUCAAGUUCACUGCAUUCCAGGUAAAUAUAUGAAGCAAUAAGAAUAUUAAAGUUUGUAUUUAUAUUCGUGAUCAUAAAUCCAUAAUAAUAUAACAGUGGACUACAAUAAUAUAUGCUGGUAAUAUAUUACCUGACCUGGUUACAUAUUUUUCGAUAUGCAGGCUGGUCCGAGGAUUUGCCUAGGAAAGGACUCCGCAUAUCUCCAAAUGAAGAUGGCAGUGGCGAUUUUGUGUAGAUUUUUCAAAUUUGAAUU